CCUACGGGUGGCAGCAGUGAGGAAUAUUGGUCAAUGGACGAGAGUCUGAACCAGCCAAGUAGCGUGAAGGAUGAAGGAGAGAGGGGGGGUAAACUUCUUUUAUAUGGGAAUAAAAUGUUCCACGUGUGGGAUGUUGUAUGUACCAUAUGAAUAAGGAUCGGCUAACUCCGUGCCAGCAGCCGCGGUAAUACGGAGGAUCCGAGCGUUAUCCGGAUUUAUUGGGUUUAAAGGGAGCGUAGGUGGAUUGUUAAGUCAGUUGUGAAAGUUUGCGGCUCAACCGGAAAAUUGCAGUUGAAACUGGCAGUCUUGAGUACAGUAGAGGUGGGCGGAAUUCGUGGUGUAGCGGUGAAAUGCUUAGAUAUCACGAAGAACUCCGAUUGCGAAGGCAGCUCACUGGACUGCAACUGACACUGAGGCUCGAAAGUGUGGGUAUCAAACAGGAUUAGAUCCGAGUAGUC
rnacentral:rRNA from 1 species